AGAGUUUGAUCCUGGCUCAGGAUGAACGCUGACAGAAUGCUUAACACAUGCAAGUCUACUUGAUCCUUCGGGUGAUGGUGGCGGACGGGUGAGUAACGCGUAAAGAACUUGCCCUGCAGUCUGGGACAACAUUUGGAAACGAAUGCUAAUACCGGAUAUUAUGUGAGUUUCGCAUGAAAUUCAUAUGAAAGCUAUAUGCGCUGCAGGAGAGCUUUGCGUCCUAUUAGCUAGUUGGUGAGGUAACGGCUCACCAAGGCGAUGAUAGGUAGCCGGCCUGAGAGGGUGAACGGCCACAAGGGGACUGAGACACGGCCCUUACUCCUACGGGAGGCAGCAGUGGGGAAUAUUGGACAAUGGACCAAAAGUCUGAUCCAGCAAUUCUGUGUGCACGAUGAAGUUUUUCGGAAUGUAAAGUGCUUUCAGUUGGGACGAAGUAAGUGACGGUACCAACAGAAGAAGCGACGGCUAAAUACGUGCCAGCAGCCGCGGUAAUACGUAUGUCGCAAGCGUUAUCCGGAUUUAUUGGGCGUAAAGCGCGUCUAGGCGGUUUGGUAAGUCUGAUGUGAAAAUGCGGGGCUCAACUCCGUAUUGCGUUGGAAACUGUCAAACUAGAGUACUGGAGAGGUGGGCGGAACUACAAGUGUAGAGGUGAAAUUCGUAGAUAUUUGUAGGAAUGCCGAUGGGGAAGCCAGCCCACUGGACAGAUACUGACGCUAAAGCGCGAAAGCGUGGGUAGCAAACAGGAUUAGAUACCCUGGUAGUCCACGCCGUAAACGAUGAUUACUAGGUGUUGGGGGUCGAACCUCAGCGCCCAAGCUAACGCGAUAAGUAAUCCGCCUGGGGAGUACGUACGCAAGUAUGAAACUCAAAGGAAUUGACGGGGACCCGCACAAGCGGUGGAGCAUGUGGUUUAAUUCGAAGCAACGCGAAGAACCUUACCAAGUCUUGACAUCCCACUGACCGGACAGUAAUGUGUCCUUUCCUUCGGGACAGU
rnacentral:rRNA from 1 species